UACAGAGGUCCCAAGCGUUGUUCGGAUUCACUGGGCGUAAAGGGUGCGUAGGCGGUCGGGUAAGUCUGAUGUGAAAUCUCACAGCUUAACUGUGAAACUGCAUUGGAUACUAUUCGGCUUGAGAGUUGGAGGGGGGACUGGAAUUCUUGGUGUAGCAGUGAAAUGCGUAGAUAUCAAGAGGAACACCAGUGGCGAAGGCGAGUCCCUAGACAACUUCUGACGCUGAGGCACGAAAGCUAGGGGAGCAAACAGG
rnacentral:rRNA from 1 species